UACGGAGGGUGCGAGCGUUGUCCGGAAUUACUGGGCGUAAAGGGCGCGUAGGCGGUUCGUUAAGUUGCUGGUGAAAUCCCGGGGCUCAACUCCGGGGCUGCCAGUAAGACUGGCGGGCUAGAGCACGGUAGAGGCAGAUGGAAUUCCCGGUGUAGCGGUGGAAUGCGUAGAUAUCGUGUGGAACGCCGAUGGUGAAAACAGGUCGCUGGGGUUGUGCUGACGCUGAGACACGAAAGCCAGGGGAGCGAACGGG
rnacentral:rRNA from 1 species